rnacentral:rRNA from 1 species
AUUGAACGCUGGCGGCACGCCUAACACAUGCAAGUCGAGCGGUAGCAGGAUCAGUAGCAAUACUGAUUGCUGACGAGCGGCGGACGGGUGAGUAAUACGUAGGAAUCUACCCUUGAGCGGGGGAUAACCAAGGGAAACUUUGGCUAAUACCGCAUAAACUCGAGAGAGAAAAGCUACCCGAAAGGGCGGCACUUGAGGAGGAGCCUGCGUCCGAUUAGCUAGUUGGUGGGGUAAGAGCUCACCAAGGCGAUGAUCGGUAACUGGUCUGAGAGGACGACCUGUCACACUGGGACUGAGACACGGCCCAGACUCCUACGGGAGGCAGCAGUGGGGAAUAUUGGACAAUGGGGGCAACCCUGAUCCAGCGAUGCCGCGUGAGUGAAGAAGGCCCUCGGGUCGUAAAGCUCUUUAGGUUGGGAAGAAGUCUAUUAGGUUAAGAGCUAGGUAGAUUGACGGUACCGACAGAAUAAGCACCGGCAAACUCUGUGCCAGCAGCCGCCGUAA